AUUGAACGCUAGCGGGAUGCUUUACACAUGCAAGUCGAACGGCCGCGCGGACUUCGGUCUGGCGGCGAGUGGCGAACGGGUGAGUAAUGUAUCGGAACGUGCCCAGUAGCGGGGGAUAACUACGCGAAAGCGUAGCUAAUACCGCAUACGCCCUACGGGGGAACGCAGGGGAUCGUAAGACCUUGCACUAUUGGAGCGGACGAUAUCGGAUUAGCUAGUUGGUGAGGUAACGGCUCACCAAGGCGACGAUCCGUAGCUGGUUUGAGAGGCCGACCAGCCACACUGGAACUGAGACACGGCCCAGACUCCUACGGGAGGCAGCAGUGGGGAAUUUUGGACAAUGGCGGCAAGCCUGACGCAGCCAUCCCGCGUGUGCGAUGAAGGCCUUCGGGUUGUAAAGCACUGUUGUCAGGAAAGAAACGUCGCGUGCGAAUACCCCGUGGAACUGACGGUACCUGCAGAAUAAGCACCGGCUAACUACGUG
rnacentral:rRNA from 1 species